rnacentral:misc_RNA from 1 species
AAGUCGUAACAAGGUCUCCGUAGGUGAACCUGCGGAGGGAUCAUUACUGAGUUUAGGUGGAAUCCACCCAACUCCAACCCUUUGUGAACACAUCUUGUUGCUUCGGGGGCGACCCUGCCAUUCGUGGCAUUCCCCCGCGGUGUCAAACAACGCAUUCUUACGUCGGAGUAAAAGUUAAUUUAAUAAAA